UUCACUCUUGCGCUGUCUCCCGAAAUCGCCGACCACACCGGGAGCUCGACGGUCGUUCAGGGCUCGAUCGCGCCGGCGCUUUGUCACAGAUCAAUUCUUCCACCUUCUCUACUCCUUAACGAAGGUCACGACGGUAGAGUCUUCACUGAAGAGUAGACUCGCGCAAGGAUCUGCGGCCGGGUGAGGAGAUCUAUGCUCCGGUGACACCGGAGUCGGGUUGUUCGCUCCAGAGCUAGAUUGUGGCGAGUAAUGGUACUCCAGACAGCUAUUUCAUCUUCUUGAGGCAUAGAGCUGAGUCGUGUUCAUCGGAUACUUCUUCUUCGUCGGGUGUUCCUUCGCCGACGGUGAGGGUUUGCGCCAUUGAGUGGCUAGCGGUGAGGAGAUCGACCCCAACUUCCUGCUGCUGUUCUUCAUUCGGGAUUCAUUGGCCUUGUAGAAACAUCGGUUGCAUCUGAGGUAGUGAGCAGCACCAUUGUGCUUGUGCCGACGAUUCCACCUACCGGCAGUGAGUCAACAGCGGGGAGUUAGGUAAGGACUUUGAUCGAGGCGGGUGUCGUGACGAAGUUGGCGUUGAAUUCAACCUACAUUUAGAGG